rnacentral:rRNA from 1 species
GACGAACGCUGGCGGCGUGCUUAACACAUGCAAGUCGAACGAUGAAGAAGAGAGACGCGCACUUCGGUUCAAAUUUCACUUCGGAUUAGUGGCAGACGGGUUAGUAACGCGUGAGCAACCUACCUCUUACAAAGGGAUAGCCUCGGGAAACCGUGAUUACUACCAUCUGACACAUUCAUAAGGCAUCUUAAGAAUGUUAAAGCUACGGCGGUAAGAGAUGGGCUCGCGUCCCAUUAGCUAGUUGGUGAGGUAACGGCGCACCAAGGCGACGAUGGGUAGCCGGUCUGAGAGGGUGAACGGUCACAGUGGAACUGAGACACGGUCCAAACUCCGACGGGAAGCAGCAGUGGGGAAUAUUGCACAAUGGAGGGAACGCGGAUGCAGCGACGGCGCGUGAGCGAUGAAGGAAUUCGGUUCGUAAAGCUCUGUUCUAGGGGAAGAAAAGGACGGUACCAGAGGAGAAAGCCCCGGCUAAAUACGUG